rnacentral:rRNA from 1 species
AUACGUAGGUGGCAAGCGUUGUCCGGAUUUACUGGGCGUAAAGGGAGCGUAGGCGGAUUUUUAAGUGAGAUGUGAAAUACCCGGGCUUAACUUGGGUGCUGCAUUUCAAACUGGAAGUCUAGAGUGCAGGAGAGGAAAGCGGAAUUCCUAGUGUAGCGGUGAAAUGCGUAGAGAUUAGGAAGAACACCAGUGGCGAAGGCGGCUUUCUGGACUGUAACUGACGCUGAGGCAUGAAAGCGUGAGGAGC